AGUGAACGCUGGCGGUAGGCCUAACACAUGCAAGUCGAACGGCAGCACAGUAAGAGCUUGCUCUUACGGGUGGCGAGUGGCGGACGGGUGAGGAAUACAUCGGAAUCUACUUUUUCGUGGGGGAUAACGUAGGGAAACUUACGCUAAUACCGCAUACGACCUACGGGAGAAAGCAGGAGAUCUUCGGACCUUGCGCGAUUGAAUAAGCCGAUGUCGGAUUAGCUAGUUGGCGGGGUAAAGGCCCACCAAGGCGACGAUCCGUAGCUGGUCUGAUAGGAUGACCAGCCACACUGGAACUGAGACACGGUCCAGACUCCUACGGGAGGCAGCAGUGGGGAAUAUUGGACAAUGGGCGCAAGCCUGAUCCAGCCAUACCGCGUGGGUGAAGAAGGCCUUCGGGUUGUAAAGCCCUUUUGUUGGGAAAGAAAAGCAGCAGGUUAAUACCCCGCUGUUCUGACGGUACCCAAAGAAUAAGCACCGGCUAACUUCGUG
rnacentral:rRNA from 1 species